rnacentral:rRNA from 1 species
AUUGAACGCUGGCGGCAUGCCUUACACAUGCAAGUCGAACGGCAGCACGGGAGCAAUCCUGGUGGCGAGUGGCGAACGGGUGAGUAAUAUAUCGGAACGUGCCCAGUCGUGGGGAUAACGCAGCGAAAGCUGUGCUAAUACCGCAUACGAUCUAUGGAUGAAAGCGGGGGACUCGCAAGGGCCUCGCGCGAUUGGAGCGGCCGAUAUCAGAUUAGCUAGUUGGUGAGGUAAAGGCUCACCAAGGCGACGAUCUGUAGCUGGUCUGAGAGGACGACCAGCCACACUGGAACUGAGACACGGACCAGACUCCUACGGGAGGCAGCAGUGGGGAAUUUUGGACAAUGGGCGCAAGCCUGAUCCAGCAAUGCCGCGUGCAGGAUGAAGGCCUCGGUUGUAACUAGCUUUGUUACGGUAAC